rnacentral:lncRNA from 1 species
GGGUUGCAGGGGUGAGGGUGGACAAGACGGCUAGUAGAAGAAAAAGUUUUAAAAAUACACUUAGCUUUCUGUUCCGGGCAGUGUGGCGCACGCCUUUAAUCCCAGCACUUGGGAGGCUGAGUUCGAGGCCAGCCAGUUCUUAGAUAUCGUUGUGAACAUCAGGGCAGCAGUUCUGGUCACAUGGAUUUAUAAACACCAAGAAGUAGCAAUAGCCAGUGUGCAAGUCACUGACAACCCAAGUCACCAAAAAUCUUACUGAGAACCAAUUAGCUCCUUGAAUUAAAGAUUAUUUUGUGAAAAGAGGCUUGAUCAUCUUGUUACCUGAAAUAAAGCAUUUCCCAUUCUGUUGUUUUAAAAUAUUUACUCUGUAACAAGUGUACAUAAUUUUGUUUUUAUAAUAAAAAAGUAGUGAUACCAAAAUAUGGGACAA